CCAAUAGCGUAUAUUAAAGUUGUUGCAGUUAAAAAGCUCGUAGUUGAAUUUCGGGGUCAGUAGGUCGGUCGUGCCACUGGUAUGAACUGGUUUUACUGAUUCCUCCCUCUUGAAGAACUGUAAUGCCAUUAAUUUGGUGUUGCAGGGAAUCAGGACUGUUACUUUGAAAAAAUUAGAGUGUUUAAAGCAGGCUUUAGCUUGAAUACAUUAGCAUGGAAUAAUGAAAUAGGACGUUUGAUCCUAUUUUGUUGGUUUCUAGGAUUGACGUAAUGAUUAAUAGGGAUAGUUGGGGGAAUUAGUAUUCAAUUGUCAGAGGUGAAAUUCUUGGAUUUAUUGAAGACUAACUACUGCGAAAGCAUUUGCCAAGGAUGUUUUCAUUAAUCAAGAACGAAAGUUAGGGGAUCGAAGACGAUCAGAUACCGUCGUAGUCUUAACCAUAAACUAUGCCGACUAGGGAUCGGAUGAUGUUAAUUUUUUAAUGACUCAUUCGGCGCCUUACG
rnacentral:ncRNA from 2 species